AACGAACGCUGGCGGCAGGCCUAACACAUGCAAGUCGAACGCUGUAGCAAUACAGAGUGGCAGACGGGUGAGUAACACGUGGGAAUCUUCCUAUCGGUACGGAAUAGCUCAGGGAAACUUGGGGUAAUACCGCAUACGCCCUUCGGGGGAAAGAUUUAUCGCCGAUAGAUGAGCCCGCGUCUGAUUAGCUAGUUGGUGAGGUAAUGGCUCACCAAGGCGACGAUCAGUAGCUGGUCUGAGAGGAUGACCAGCCACACUGGGACUGAGACACGGCCCAGACUCCUACGGGAGGCAGCAGUGGGGAAUAUUGGACAAUGGGCGCAAGCCUGAUCCAGCCAUGCCGCGUGAGUGACGAAGGUCUUCGGAUUGUAAAGCUCUUUUGGCGGGGACGAUAAUGACGGUACCCGCAGAAUAAGCCCCGGCUAACUUCGUGCCAGCCGCCGCCGUAA
rnacentral:rRNA from 1 species